rnacentral:rRNA from 1 species
CCUANGGGCGGCAGCAGUGAGGAAUAUUGGUCAAUGGACGGAAGUCUGAACCAGCCAUCCCGCGUGCAGGAAGAAGGCGCUAUGCGUUGUAAACUGCUUUUCCGAGGGAAGAAAACCCCCGACGUGUCGGGGCUUGUCGGUACCUUGGGAAUAAGCAUCGGCUAACUCCGUGCCAGCAGCCGCGGUAAUACGGAGGAUGCGAGCGUUAUCCGGAUUUAUUGGGUUUAAAGGGUGCGUAGGCGGACCGAUAAGUCAGUGGUGAAAACCUGCAGCUUAACUGUAGAACUGCCAUUGAUACUGUCGGACUUGAGUAUGGUCAAGGUAGGCGGAAUGUGUAAUGUAGCGGUGAAAUGCUUAGAUAUUACACAGAACACCGAUUGCGAAGGCAGCUUGCUGGACCAUUACUGACGCUGAUGCACGAAAGCGUGGGGAGCGAACAGGAUUAGAUACCCCUNUANUC